GAUGAACGCUGGCGGCGUGCUUAACACAUGCAAGUCGAACGAAGCACUUUUACAGAUUUCUUCGGAAUGAAGUUUUAGUGACUGAGUGGCGGACGGGUGAGUAACGCGUGGGUAACCUGCCUCACACGGGGGGAUAACAGUUGGAAACGACUGCUAAUACCGCAUAAGCGCACAGUACCGCAUGGUACGGUGUGAAAAACUCCGGUGGUGUGAGAUGGACCCGCGUCUGAUUAGCUAGUUGGCAGGGCAACGGCCUACCAAGGCGACGAUCAGUAGCCGACCUGAGAGGGUGACCGGCCACAUUGGGACUGAGACACGGCCCAAACUCCUACGGGAGGCAGCAGUGGGGAAUAUUGCACAAUGGGGGAAACCCUGAUGCAGCGACGCCGCGUGAGCGAAGAAGUAUUUCGGUAUGUAAAGCUCUAUCAGCAGGGAAGAAGAAAUGACGGUACCUGACUAAGAAGCAUCGGCUAAAUACGUGCCAGCAGCCGCCGCGG
rnacentral:rRNA from 1 species